rnacentral:tRNA from 1 species
UACCCGGUGGUGUAACGGUAGCACUUCAGGUUUUGGUCCUGACUGUCCAGGUUCGAAUCCUGGCCGGGUAG